AAAAAAUUAUUAUAGUUUGUGAAUUUAUUUUAAAUUUAUUUUACAUAUAAAUUUUAGUGUUAAAUUUAAUUUAUUUAAAAAAUAUUUUAAUUUAUUAAGUAGUAAUUAGUAUUAAAUAUUUAAGAAAUUAAGAUUUAGUUAUAUAAAAAUUAAUAACUAAUUUUGUGCCAGCAGUUGCGGUUAGACAAAAGUUAAAUUAAAUUUUUUUAGUAAUUAAUUAAUAGAAUUUUUAUAUUGUAAGUAAUGAAUUAUUAGGUGAAAUUUUAAUUUAUUAAAAUUUUAUUUAAUUUUUAUGAUUUAAUAAAUUUAUUAAAAAACUAGGAUUAGAUACCCUAUUAUAGGAAUUUAAAUUAUAAUACUAAAAUAGUAGGUAAUUAUUUAUUGAAACUUAAAUAAGUUGGCGGUAUUUUAGUUCAUUUAGAGGAAUCUGUUUAAUAAUUGAUAAUCCACGAAUAAAUUUACUUAAUUUAAAAUUUUGUAUAUCGUUGUUAGAAAAAUAUUUUCAAAUAAAAAUAAUAUUUUAAUUUUUAAAAUUAAAAUUAAAUCAGAUCAAGAUGCAGAUUAUAAUUAAGAAUAUAAUGGAUUACAAUAAAUUUAUUUAGGUGAAUUUUAAUUUGUAAUAAUUAAUUGAAAUUGGAUUUAAAUGUAAUUUUAUUUAGUUUAAUAAGAUGAUUGAAAAUUAAAUUAUGUACAUAUUGCCCGUCGCUUUCAUAUAUUAUUAAUUUAUAAAUUUAUAAUUAAUAUAAAUUGAAUAAUUUAUUUAAUAAGUGAAAUAAAUUGAAAUAAGUCGUAACAAAGUAGAGGUACUGGAAAGUGUUUCUAGAAAGA
rnacentral:rRNA from 1 species